rnacentral:rRNA from 1 species
CCUACGGGAGGCAGCAGUGGGGAAUAUUGGGCAAUGGGCGCAAGCCUGACCCAGCAACGCCGCGUGAAGGAAGCAGGCUUUCGGGUUGUAAACUUCUUUUCUGAGGGACGAAGAAAGUGACGGUAACUCAGGAAUAAGCCACGGCUAACUACGUGCCAGCAGCCGCGGUAAUACGUAGGUGGAAAGCGUUAUCCGGAUUUAUUGGGUGUAAAGGGCGUGUAGGCGGGAAAGCAAGUCAGAUGUGAAAACUCAGGGCUCAACCCUGAGCCUGCAUUUGAAACUGUUUUUCUUGAGUGCUGGAGAGGCAAUCGGAAUUCCGUGUGUAGCGGUGACAUGCGUAGAUAUACGGAGGAACACCAGUGGCGAAGGCGGAUUGCUGGACAGUAACUGACGCUGAGGCGCGAAAGCGUGGGGAGCAAACAGGAUUAGAUACCCUAGUAGUC